rnacentral:lncRNA from 10 species
UGCUGGUCCUGCAGGCUCAGGGAGCAGGUGGGACCUCAUCUGCCCCCCAAGAAUAGGCAGACCAUGUGGCUCACCCCUGAUUCCUGCUCGUAGGUCUUUCCAUGUCUGCAGGCCAUGGGACAGCUCCAGGGAGCUCUUGAAGGUUUCUGAGCAGAUGUCGAGGGUCAGGAAAACAGAAUUUGGGGCAUUUAGUAGGGUUGGGGAAGGAAUCCAUAGGAUUUCGUAUGAAGGGGAGGCUCAAGAGGUGGUAAUCCCAGCACUUUGGGAGGCUGAGGUGGGCGGAUCACCUGAGGUCAGGAGUUUGAGACCAGCCUGGCACAUGGUGAAACCCUGUCUCUACUAAAAAUACAAAAAAAGUGUUUACCUGCGUGGGUGUUUACCCCCGGGGGUGUUUGCCCGCGUGGGUGUUUACCCGAGGGGGUGUUUGCCCGAGUGGGUGUUUGCCCGCGUGGGUGUUUACCUGCGUGGUUGUUUACCCCCGUGGGUGUUUACCCGAGGGGGUGUUUGCCUGCGUGGGUGUUUGCCUGCGUGGGUGUUUACCUGAGUGGGUGUUUACCUGAGUAGGUGUUUGCCCGCGUGGGUGUUUACCCGAGUGGGUGUUUGCCCGAGUGGG